GACGAACGCUGGCGGCGUGCUUAACACAUGCAAGUCGAACGAUGAAGAAGAGAAAGGCGAACUUCGGUUCAACUUUCACUUCGGAUUAGUGGCAGACGGUGGAGUAACGCGUGAGCAACCUACCCCUUACAAAGGGAUAGCCCGGGGAAACCGUGAUUAAUACAAAUUGACACAUUCAUAAGGCAUCUUAAGAAUGUUAAAGCUACGGCGGUAAGAGAUGGGCUCGCGUCCCAUUAGCUAGUUGGUGAGGUAACGGCCCACCAAGGCGACGAUGGGUAACCGGCCUGAGAGGGUGAACGGUCACAUUGGAACUGAGACACGGUCCAAACUCCUACGGGAGGCAGCAGUGGGGAAUAUUGCACAAUGGAGGGAACUCUGAUGCAGCGACGCCGCGUGAGCGAUGAAGGAAUUCGUUUCGUAAAGCUCUGUUCUAUGGGAAGAAAAGGACUGUACCAUAGGAGAAAGCCCCGGCUAAAUACGUG
rnacentral:rRNA from 1 species